rnacentral:rRNA from 1 species
UACAGAGACUGCAAGCGUUAUUCGGAUUCACUGGGCGUAAAGGGUGCGCAGGCGGCCGUGUGUGUCAGGUGUGAAAGCCCGGAGCUUAACUCCGGAAUUGCGCCUGAAACUACAUGGCUAGAGCAUUGGAGAGGGUAGCGGAAUUCACGGUGUAGCAGUGAAAUGCGUAGAUAUCGUGAGGAACACCCGUGGUGCAGACGGCUUGCUGGACCGUGACUGACGCUGAGGCACGAAAGCGUGGGUAGCAAACAGG